rnacentral:rRNA from 1 species
UACAGAGGGUGCGAGCGUUGUCCGGAAUCACUGGGCGUAAAGGGCGCGUAGGCGGCCUGGUAAGUAGGGGGUGGAAUCCUGCGGCUCAACCGCAGGGCUGCCUUCUAAACUGUCAGGCUGGAGCACGGUAGAGGCAGAUGGAAUUCCCGGUGUAGCGGUGGAAUGCGUAGAGAUCGGGAAGAACACCAGUGGCGAAGGCGGUCUGCUGGGCCGUUGCUGACGCUGAGGCGCGACAGCGUGGGGAGCAAACAGG